CCUUCGAUAGCUCAGUUGGUAGAGCGGGGGGCUGUAGAUUUAUAAUUGUGAUCCCUAGGUCGCUGGUUCGAAUCCGGCUCGAAGGA
rnacentral:tRNA from 2 species